rfam:Dipodomys ordii contig_30214, whole genome shotgun sequence.
GGGAAUGUGGCUUAGUGGUAGAGUGCUUGCCUAGUAUGCAUGAAGCUCUGGAUUCAAUUUCUCAGUACCA